rnacentral:rRNA from 1 species
CAGUCGCCGCGGGAAUACGUAGGUGGCAAGCGUUGUCCGGAAUUAUUGAGCGUAAAGGGCUCGCAGGCGGUUUCUUAAGUCUGAUGUGAAAGCCCCCGGCUCAACCGGGGAGGGUCAUUGGAAACUGGGAAACUUGAGUGCAGAAGAGGAGAGUGGAAUUCCACGUGUAGCGGUGAAAUGCGUAGAGAUGUGGAGGAACACCAGUGGCGAAGGCGACUCUCUGGUCUGUAACUGACGCUGAGGAGCGAAAGCGUGGGGAGCGAACAGGAUUAGAUACCCCCGUAGUCCCUGUCUCUUAUAC